GUGACAUGCGUUCGUGUGUGUGGAGACGAGAGGAGAGGGGGCACAGGUCCCCCCCGCCAACCGAAAGGUGCACAGGUGUGGAUGGCGCAGCCGGCGUGCAAGCCCGAGGGCGCACAGCCAGCGAGGCCGUGAGGACGGGAACGAUCCCGAUUCACUAAUGAUCCUUCCGCAGGUUCACCUACGGAAACCUUGUUACGACUUUUACUUCCUCUAAAUGACCAAGA
rnacentral:misc_RNA from 1 species